rnacentral:rRNA from 1 species
AACGAACGCUGGCGGCAGGCUUAACACAUGCAAGUCGAACGGUUGUAGCAAUACAGCAGUGGCAGACGGGUGAGUAACACGUGGGAACCUUCCUAGGGGUACGGAACAACUCAGGGAAACUUGAGCUAAUACCGUAUACGUCCGUGAGGAGAAAGAUUUAUCGCCCUUAGACGGGCCCGCGUCGGAUUAGCUAGUUGGUGGGGUAACGGCCUACCAAGGCGACGAUCCGUAGCUGAUCUUAGAGGAUGAUCAGCCACACUGGGACUGAGACACGGCCCAGACUCCUACGGGAGGCAGCAGUGGGGAAUCUUGGACAAUGGGCGCAAGCCUGAUCCAGCCAUGCCGCGUGAGUGAAGAAGGUCUUCGGAUUGUAAAGCUCUUUUGCCAGGGACGAUAAUGACGGUACCUGGAGAAUAAGCCCGGCAAACUUCGUGCCAGCAGCCGCGGU